AUUGAACGCUGGCGGCAGGCCUAACACAUGCAAGUCGAACGAGUGGCGGACGGGUGAGCAAUGACUGGGAAACUUCCUGAUGGAGGGGGACAACUACUGGACACGGUAGCUAAUUCCGCAUACCAUCACAUAUGCCCAAGUGGGAUUUGCGAGUUGGUGGGGUAACGGCUCACCAAGGCGACGAUCCCUAGCUGGUCUGAGAGGAUGCCCAGCCACACUGGAACUGAGACACGGUCCAGACUCCUACGGGAGGCAGCAGUGGGGAAUAUUGCACAAUGGGCGCAAGCCUGAUGCAGCCAUGCCGCGUGUAUGAAGAAGGCCUUCGGGUUGUAAAGUACUUUCAGCGGGGAGGCGUUACCCGCAGAAGAAGCACCGGCUAACUCCGUGCCAGCAGCCGCGGUAAUAC
rnacentral:rRNA from 1 species